UGGGGAUUUAGCAGCCUCCCUGAAUUAAGACACACUCGUGUCCAAGGUCUGC
rnacentral:ncRNA from 1 species